CGAAGAAUACGAUGGUAAAAAAAUUGAGAGAAACGGGAAAUGAAAAACGAGAAGGGGGUCAUCGAAGAGGUUUUUGGGUUGUAGCUACAACAGCUUGGCCGAGCUUUGCUCGUAUUUUUCGACUCACUCGUUGCACUUUUUGCUCUAAUAUGGGUGUGGGGACGUUCAAAAUUCGAUUCCAAGCAUAAGGGAAAAAAUUCUACCUUUUUCGGCUUCGGGGUGGCUCCAGUGCGGCGACGACAGUGUCCCUCCGGUGGCUGAGCUUCCCUCCGACCGCCCUUAUUCUUCUCCUCCGAUCAAGGGUGUCAGUUAGGGUUUUGGGAGCCCGCUAAAGAGAGGUUUAAGUACCUCUCUUCUCUUAAUCCUGACCAUUCACUCACGUCGACGUGCA
rnacentral:lncRNA from 1 species